rnacentral:rRNA from 1 species
UACAGAGGGUGCGAGCGUUAAUCGGAAUUACUGGGCGUAAAGGGUGCGUAGGUGGUUUGAUAAGUUAGGUGUGAAAGUCCUGGGCUUAACCUGGGGAUUGCGCCUAAUACUGUUAAGCUAGAGUACUGUAGAGGGAGGUGGAAUUUCCGGUGUAGCAGUGAAAUGCGUAGAUAUCGGAAGGAACAUCAGUGGCGAAGGCGGCUUCCUGGUCCAGCACCGACGUUCAGGCACGAAAGCGUGGGGAGCAAACAGG